rnacentral:rRNA from 1 species
UACGUAGGGUCCAAGCGUUAUCCGGAAUUACUGGGCGUAAAGAGUUGCGUAGGUGGCAAAGUAAGUCAGUAGUGAAAUGAUACGGCUCAACCGUAUGCCCAUUACUGAAACUGCUUAGCUAGAGAAUGAGAGAGGUUAUUGGAAUUCCCUGUGUAGGAGUGAAAUCCGUAGAUAUAGGGAGGAACACCGAUGGCGUAGGCAGAUAACUGGCUCAUUUCUGACACUAAGGCACGAAAGCGUGGGGAGCAAACGGG